AUAGAUAGCAGCAGCUUCGGAGGCUCUCCAAGAAACCACACUUAAAGUCCAGCAAUGCUGCCAGGCGAGAAAUCCUAAGCAAGGGGAGAUAUACUUUGCCGACCCAGGAACGAACUAAACUAAGAGAAACCAACUGGAAACGCAAUCCUGGUGAUAUAACAGGAACAGAUAAGGUCUCAGCGGAAGCUAGACCCCGCGCCACUGGAAGCUGCGAUUUCAAUUUCCUGCAGCCACUGCUGCGUCCCAAUCGGCACGGCAAGGAGAGAGGCGCAAAAGCUCUGAGAGUGGGAAGCGGUGAAUGGAGUUGAGAGCAGGGCUGGCCGGGAGCCCUCCAUCGACCUGCGCACUGAAGUGAAGCGCUGCCAGGCUCAGCAAGGUGCCUGCCCAACAUGGAGCUGGACGGUCAACAUGAAGGACAGCCUCUUUCAACGCUGACUUCUGUGUUCUUCUUCCAAUCCUGAAAACCGAACUCCUCACUUUCCAGUGGCACCAACAUUCCCCCAAUCAGCUAUCAAAACGUCAGUCUGCCUGCUCCUUUAACUCCACCACCUGUCAAACUGGAUAAAAGCCUGCAGCUUUUUUUGUCUGCCCCGAGGUGAUUUUGCAUCCCUCCUGUGCCCCCAAUAAAGGCCUUUUCUUUUUGCCUUGC